rnacentral:rRNA from 1 species
GACGAACGCUGGCGGCGUGCUUAACACAUGCAAGUCGAGCGAUGAAGCUCCUUCGGGAGUGGAUUAGCGGCGGACGGGUGAGUAACACGUGGGCAACCUGCCUUAUAGAGAGGAAUAGCCAUCCGAAGGGAUGAUUAAUACCUCAUAAUAUUGUAGCUUCGCAUGGAGCAACAAUCAAAGGAGAAAUCCACUAUAAGAUGGGCCCGCGGCGCAUUAGCUAGUUGGUGAGGUAACGGCUCACCAAGGCGACGAUGCGUAGCCGACCUGGGAGGGUGAUCGGCCACGUUGGGGCUGAGACACGGCCCAGGCUCCUACGGGAGGCAGCAGUGGGGAAUAUUGCACAAUGGGGGAAACACUGAUGCAGCAACGCCGCGUGAGUGAUGACGGCCUUCGGGUUGUAAAGCUCUGUCUUCAGGGACGAUAAUGACGGUACCUGAGGAGGAAGCCACGGCUAACUACGUGCCAGCCGCCGCUGUAA